AACGAACGCUGGCGGCAGGCCUAACACAUGCAAGUCGAGCGCGCCUUCGGGUGAGCGGCGGACGGGUUAGUAACGCGUGGGAACGUGCCCUUCUCUACGGAAUAGCCUCUGGAAACGGAGAGUAAUACCGUAUACGCCCUUUGGGGGAAAGAUUUAUCGGAGAAGGAUCGGCCCGCGUUAGAUUAGGUAGUUGGUGGGGUAACGGCCUACCAAGCCUACGAUCUAUAGCUGGUUUUAGAGGAUGAUCAGCAACACUGGGACUGAGACACGGCCCAGACUCCUACGGGAGGCAGCAGUGGGGAAUCUUAGACAAUGGGGGCAACCCUGAUCUAGCCAUGCCGCGUGAGUGAUGAAGGCCUUAGGGUCGUAAAGCUCUUUCGCCUGUGAUGAUAAUGACAGUAGCAUGUAAAGAAACCCCGGCUAACUCCGUG
rnacentral:rRNA from 1 species